rnacentral:lncRNA from 1 species
GGUGGACCAGUUCUACCACAAGAAAUCCAACCAACUGAUCUAUGAUCAGUUCACAGGUAUUUUUGUGUUUAAUAUAAUGAGUUUAGGGAUACAAUAUAUCUUAUUUAUUUCUAUUUCUAUUAUUUAUACUUUCAUGAAAUGUUUUCAUAAAUGAGCAGAGCGUUUUCACCCAAGAUAACUGAGGACAGUGACAUCGUAGAAGCACAACAUAUCAUAGUAUAUUUUCCUUGUGUGCUUUAUUUCAAUUUCUCUAUUGUUUUUGUGG